ACGGAAGGCAGCAGUGGGGAAUAUUGGACAAUGGGGGCAACCCUGAUCCAGCGACGCCGCGUGAGUGAAGAAGUAUUUCGGUAUGUAAAGCUCUAUCAGCAGGGAAGAAAAUGACGGUACCUGACUAGGAAGCCCCGGCUAACUACGUGCCAGCAGCCGCGGUAAUACGUAGGGGGCAAGCGUUAUCCGGAUUUACUGGGUGUAAAGGGAGCGUAGACGGCGAUGCAAGUCUGAAGUGAAAGCCCGCGGCUUAACUGCGGAACUGCUUUGGAAACUGUAUUGCUAGAGUGUCGGAGAGGUGAGUGGAAUUCCCAGUGUAGCGGUGAAAUGCGUAGAUAUUGGGAGGAACACCGGUGGCGAAGGCGGCUCACUGGACGAUAACUGACGUUGAUGCUCGAAAGCGUGGGGAGCAAACAGGAUUAGAUACCCUGGUA
rnacentral:rRNA from 1 species